rnacentral:rRNA from 1 species
AUUGAACGCUGGCGGCAUGCUUUACACAUGCAGGUCGAACGGCAGCACGGACUUCGGUCUGGUGGCGAGUGGCGAACGGGUGAGUAAUACAUCGGAACGUGCCCAGUUGUGGGGGAUAACUACUCGAAAGAGUAGCUAAUACCGCAUGAGAACUGAGGUUGAAAGCAGGGGAUCGUAAGACCUUGCGCAACUGGAGCGGCCGAUGGCAGAUUAGGUAGUUGGUGGGAUAAAAGCUUACCAAGCCGACGAUCUGUAGCUGGUCUGAGAGGACGACCAGCCACACUGGGACUGAGACACGGCCCAGACUCCUACGGGAGGCAGCAGUGGGGAAUUUUGGACAAUGGGCGAAAGCCUGAUCCAGCAAUGCCGCGUGCAGGAUGAAGGCCUUCGGGUUGUAAACUGCUUUUGUACGGAACGAAAAGCUCUGGGUUAAUACCCUGGGGUCAUGACGGUACCGUAAGAAUAAGCACCGGCUAACUACGUGCCAGCAGCCGCAGUAACAC